ACAAACUUUGUCCUCUAUCAGUGGGACACAGCAACUUCCUGCUGGCUUAUCUGCACGGGGAAUGAGGAGCUACUUCCCUCCAGGAUGCAUACUCUCUGACACAGAAUCACUGCUGACGUGAUGUACUAAUCUCCUAGUGGCUGCAAAUGGAACACAACCAUCCUUAUAAUCCACAGAAGAGGGAAAGGCGGCAUGAACCAUUUCUUCAAAAAUAUAAACAGUAUACAAUAUGGAUUCUAUGUAUUUUUUUUUUUCUUUAAACGUACAUAGCAUUUUGUUUGUAUAUGCCCCAGCAGGUACACCAAGACUCUCUCAAUACAAUCUGCAAAGCCCACUAAAGCGGAAAAAUACGAAAGAGAGCCAGCACAGCCAGGACACAAACCACACUGGCAAGAGAUGCGGAUGCUGGCGAUGCAGGAACUUCAUCAUCGCACCGCACUCCACUAAGACGACAUUCGCAGGGGUCUGCCAGUCUACAGAAGAUGGGUAGUAAGAGACACUGUCUUGAGGCGGUAACUACACCCGCAUCCUCACCACCACAACGGCGCAUCUCCGCUGUUUUGGCUCAGCCACCAGAAGCCAUUUUGGCCAGUCCACAAAGCGAGGAACCACAAUCCCUCAGCUGUCUGAUCCAGGCAUCAUGCCCCAGGAUACCCAGAAGGAAACUGACUUGCAGUAAACUUUCACACUACACCUGCAAGCAGUUGAUACGAACCAGCCAACCACGCCGGCUGACAUUACUCCACCACCCCAAACAACCCCCACCCAACAAUUGAGCCCAACACCACCCCAGCCAGAAAUGGGACAAGACUUUUGGUCCAGUUGGGCCACACAACAGGCCCAACACUAUGCCUGUCUGCAAAACCACAGCCAAUAUCUUGCCAGUCUGCCACAUCAUCUACCUAGACUGAGUAGAAACUCAGGCAGAAUGAUUGUACAACUUGGCAGAGUGGCCAAUACCAUGGAGCAAAUGAGAGCAGACAACAGCCAACUGAUAGGAAGCUUUCAACGCAUCAUGGACGAACCAAACCGCCAUCAACAAGCCCUCAUUCAACUAAUUCAGAACAAUCAGCUAAUCACAGAAAGCCUGUCCAGAAUAAUCGCCAACAACACAGCCGCAACAACACAACUGACAGCAAGCCUCAACAACCUGAGCCAAAACAUAAAUUUGUUGGCAGCCCAGCAACAAGGCUCAAGCUCAGGGACAACCACACCUAGCCAGACCCCAGUUACCUCCCCAGUUAGACGAUCAAGCAGAACACGGCCCAAUGUGCCAACAGAAUCCUCUGCAGACACCAAAAAAACAACAAGGAAAUGAGCAAGCCAGCAAAAAAACAUAAAGUAUUGUCAAAUAAAAAUAACGUUUAUAGAAUUGUGGCCAACAAAAUUAUAGUGUUUAAGAUAAUAAAUUACUCAAAUGCUA